UACGGAGGGUGCGAGCGUUGUCCGGAAUCACUGGGCGUAAAGGGCGCGUAGGCGGCGCGGGUAGUCAACGGUGAAAGCUUGGGGCUCAACCCCGAGUCGGCCGUCGAUACUCCCGUGCUUGAGCACUGUAGAGGCAGGUGGAAUUCCGGGUGUAGCGGUGGAAUGCGUAGAGAUCCGGAAGAACACCGGUGGCGAAGGCGGCCUGCUGGGCAGUAGCUGACGCUGAGGCGCGACAGCGUGGGGAGCAAACGGG
rnacentral:rRNA from 1 species